AUUGAACGCUGGCGGCAGGCCUAACACAUGCAAGUCGAAAGAGUGGCGGACGGGUGAGUAAUGUCUGGGAAACUGCCCGAUGGAGGGGGAUAACUACUGGAAACGGUAGCUAAUACCGCAUACCAUCGGAUGUGCCUAGAUGGGAUUAGUUAGCAGGUGGGGUAACGGCUCACCUAGGCGACGAUCCCUAGCUGGUCUGAGAGGCUGACCAGCCACACUGGAACGGAUACACGGUCCCGACUCUGACGGGAGGCAGCAGGGGGGAAUAUGGUACAACGGGCGCAUGCCUGACGCAGCCCUGCCGCGUGGAUGAAGAAGGCAUUCGGGUUGUAAAGUACUUUCAGCGAGGAGGAGUUACUCGCAGAAGAAGCCCCGGUUAACUCCGUGCCAGCAGCCGCGGUAAUAC
rnacentral:rRNA from 1 species